rnacentral:rRNA from 2 species
GAUCAAGCGCGAAAAGGGCGUUUGGUGGAUGCCUAGGCAGCAAGAGGCGAUGAAGGACGUGAUACCCUGCGUUAAGCCAUGGGGAGCCGGGAAUAGGCUUUGAUCCAUGGAUGUCCGAAUGGGGAAACCCACCUGAUUGUUCGUUGUUGUCCUACCGCUUCGCUACUUGAGGACUCGUCCGACAGUGGCAAGCGCGGGAUCAUCAAUGGGCAAAGACAGGUAUCAUUACCCUGAAUACAUAGGGGUUUUGAAGCGAACCCGGGGAACUGAAACAUCUAAGUACCCGGAGGAAAGGAAAUCAACAGAGACUCCGUUAGUAGUGGCGAGCGAACGCGGACCAGCCGAUCCUCGAAGAGUGACUGGAAUGCGCUGGAAAGCGCAGCGAUACAGGGUGACAGCCCCGUACAGGAAGCUCCACAGGACAUAUCAAGUACGGCGG